UGACAUUGCGUUUGAAUAUUAACCCCUGCUUUAUUAGGGAUGCAUUAUAUCGUCCAGUCUCCUUCAUGGUGUAUACACAGGACCUUUGUUUGAAUACCUUAAUUUAAAUAAUAAAUUUCGCGUGUAACAGGCAGCCCAUCGAAUUAGCCAAUUACGCGAGAUUAGUUUGCUUUAGCCUCAAAGCGGUAAUCAACUUAACAUGAACAAACUAGUGAAUAACCUCACGGCCCACGUGUUGUUUUAGUAAAUAAAUGGAAUAAUAAAUAAGUAGGAUGAUUGUACCUACCCGCAUUGAAUUACAAUACGCCCCUACAAUCAGUAAAUACGCAAAUCGAGAAAUUUUGCGUGUUUGAUAUUUCAUCAGAGAAAGAAAUUGAAUUGAUUCCUUAGAAAAAUUGGUACCUGACCGCGAUAUUGGAAAGCCGCCAUAAUUCCAUUACUUAGUACUUAUAAUGUGCACGAGUUUUUCUUUACUCCUUGGCACUGAGCACGGUCUUUCAAAGUGUCUAAAUUUGAAAUGUGGUGUUGGCGCAAAAUGUUGGGCGUAUCAUGGACGGAGCGCCGAACAAAUGUAUCGAUUCUCGAGGAGCUAAACGUCAAGACCCGUCUAUCUACAAUCUGUAUGCAGCGUCUCCUCAAGUACUUCGGACACGUGGCCCGACAAAAUCCUGAGAACUUGGAAAAAUUAAUAGUUGUAGGUCACGCGGAAGGAAAGAGAAGUCGAGGAAGAUUGCCAACCAGGUGGACGGACAUUAUCAAGGAUGCCACAAACACCAGCGUCCCGGACGCCAUUAAGCAGGCCGAAUGCAGGCAACAUUGCAGGAAGCUGGUGCAAAAACUGGACCAAGGUGGUCACGACCCUCAGUAAUGAGGAAACGACAAAGAAGAAGAAGAAAUUUAAACAUUUAUUGCGAAUAGUGCUUUUUAUCAUAAUGCUGAAAUUAUGGAACAUGUCAAGUACUUGUAGAGAAUUCGCCGUAAUAUGAAAUCGUAAAAUUUCAUCGUUCUCUAGUCUCCUUUGGAAAUUAUGUUUACGUAAUUGAUUUCAAAUGACAACAUGAAAAAUGUUAUUACCAGAGCAAAGGUUGUCUAAUUUAUUAAAGGUAUUUCUUAUUAAAUGUAUUCCGUUAUUAUCAUUUGAAACCUAGUCUGGUUAUUUACUUGAUUAUUUGAGUUCGACUACCACUAGCAUUAUACUGAGUGGGAAUCAAAUUUAUAUAAAAAAACUUAGUUCCAAAUACAUUUCUUGGGAGAUUUAA